rnacentral:piRNA from 1 species
UAAUCAGAGCUGAAGGACACAACUU